UACGGAGGAUGCGAGCGUUAUCCGGAUUUAUUGGGUUUAAAGGGAGCGUAGGUGGUUUGAUAAGCCAGCUGUGAAAUACUGCCGCUCAACGGCAGCCGUGCAGUUGGAACUGUCAGACUUGAGUGUACGGGAGGAAAGUGGAAUUCGUGGUGUAGCGGUGAAAUGUUUAGAUAUCACGAAGAACUCCGAUUGCGAAGGCAGCCUUCUGGAGUGUAACUGACACUGAUGCUCGAAAGUGUGGGUAUCGAACAGG
rnacentral:rRNA from 1 species